UUACGGUCAUAUCAUGUUGAAACACCAGUUCUGGUAUGAUUACAGAAGUUAAACAAUGUCAAGUCUGGUCAGUACCUAAAUGGGUGACCACUUGGAAAUACCAGGUGCUGUAU